CAUUUGCUGGCUUUUACUUUUUGUCUGUGAAUUCUGGGUCCCCACUCUUUGUCCAUUUGGUCCACUGGCUUGCUAGUUUUCUUUCCAUUGAUUUCUGAGCACUCUCUGUAAGGCAGGGACCUCAGUGAUUUUGGAUUUCUCUGGCAGAGGCCUUCAUGCUGGCCUGGAGCUCAAAGACCCUUGGCAGGGACAUGGGCUGAGAGGAGGCUGUUUUAAAUCAAUCUCAAGUUGAGAAAGGCUCUGAAUAGCGUCCUAUCAGAGGAAUAAGAAAUACAUUCUAGGGCUCUGGUGAUACACUUGAGAUAAAGAGGGAUGAAGGAAAGAAAGGACAAAGAUGAACCAAAGUUUCUAACAGGAAACAGAAAGACUGGGGAAGCCCUGAGAGGCUGGAGAGAAGAGCCGGUUUGGAAGGAAACACGCUAAUUCGGUGUGGUGGUUACUGAGUUUGAAAUACUGGUGCAUUCCACUCAGGAAGAUGAUUUACAGGCAAUGUGAGAUAUAGGACCAGCGAGGAAUCAGGCUGAGGCUUCUGGGAAGCAUCUCUACUGAAGUGGCAGCUGAAGCCCCAGGGGAGAUGAGCUCACCGCGCAAGGGGGAAGGAGAAGCAGAGCCCAGGACGAGGACUUGAGGAACACCCACGAGGAGAAGAAGAGACCAGCAGGGGCGACAAGUAAACCAGGAGAGGAGUGGGGCUCCAGAGCGAGGGUUAGACACUCCGGCCAGUGGCCGCACCUGGCGCCUCGCCUGUCUUCUUAAAUAAAGUUUUAUCAGAACACGGCCACUUGUUGACACACUGUCUGAGGCUGUUUUCACACCACAACAGCAAGGCCUGAGUAACUGUGACAGGGACCGUGUCACAAAACCUAGACUCUUGCUACCCAGGCCUUUUACAGGAGCAGUUCUCCAACCCCGGUUCUAGAAGGAAAAACAUUGGUUAACACGGUCAAAUGCUGCACAGAGUCAGAGGGUGACUGCAAGUGGGAAGCCACCACCGAUUUAGAGAGUAGGUAGCAGGUUACUUUGUAAACUUUGUGUAUCACGUUGGGAUUAGAAAAGGGGCUUUAAAGGCAUAUCUGGAAGAGCUGACUCAUACACCUCAGGAAAAGCAGAGCGGGAGGUGGGUCAGCAGCUAACAAGCACAUCAGGAAGCACAGAGAAGUGCUGUCUAUCCACCUGUGUGUCCUCACAGCCCUUGAGUGAAGAGGGUUGAGCAUCAUCGUGACCUCGGGGAUUAGAGCUGGAAGUCAGUGUCCUCAAGAAAGUGGCGGAAGGGGGACUGUGUGGAGCAGUGUGCUGGUAAAUGUUUAAUAACACGCUCUCAAAAAUAUCUGUAGCAGCGUGCCCUGAUUUCCAUGGUGCACACACUCCAGCUGGCAGAAUUCCUGACAAUGUAACAAUUGGCUCCUUCAAGCCAGUUCAGUUGGUGCCAGCACACCAACUGGGGGAUGCUGUCACCAACGCUGAAGCUGGAGGAUGGAGCACAGGAAGGCGUGAGUGCGGGGUUGAAUUCUUCAGGAAUACGUCUUGGGAAGCAAGAGAUGAUAUCGCGACAGUUAAAAGGAAGAGGCAUGAACUUCAGUGUUGAUAAGUGGAAGCAAGGUCGGAACCCACUGCCUCCCUGUAUCCCAAGCUUAUCUUCCGGAGCAUUCUUCCUGGAAAAUGGCACUUACGCUUUAUGCCACCACGACUGAAGGCCUGUCUUCCUUUCUGAGGGAGCAGGCGAGCCUUCUUGGGUGGGAUGGAAAAUACGUUUCUAUUCUUAGCAUUAUUAAUUCUAAUCCAGGAGGGCACAAAGAGAAGGCCACUUCCCUCUGUGCCCUCAGGACGUGUAUGCAGGGGAGACGAGAAUUAAAUAAUGAACAGGUCCCAAACAAAGCCAUUCGAUGCUGGGCACGGCGACGUCUUUCUGUUUCUCAAUGCUACUAAAACCCCACAAUGAGCUCUUCUGGUAACACAGACCAGAUUUCUAGAUGUCCUACUGGCAGCCGACCUUUUCUCGUGAACUCCAGUCAGUGGCCAAGGGAGAGGAGCAUCAGUGCUUUAAAAUCUCUUUUCUAUGCCUGAAGCAAACAUUUUACAACAUUUCUCCUUGAUACGAAAUCUCUGCUUGGACAUCUGGCUUCACAGUGAGGAACUUUCAAUACACUAGCUUCAAAGAAAGGGCUUGGCCCUGCUGGUGCAGUGAUGCCAGAAGAAUGUUCCACCGUCUUUCUACAGAACUAUUUCUAACAAUUCCCCCCAAUGAACUUCUGAGAGUCCAGUGGAGAGAGUUAACUAACAGACAGCUCGGCUUUGGUGUGCGCCUGACGGGCCCUUGCUGAGCUCAGAAAUGAGGGAUAAACAAGGUGGAGGACGUUUUCUUAGAAUCUGCCCACGAAGUCCCUGUUACCAGCAGAUCGGCGUUAGCUUCGCAGUCUGCUGCGCCAUCGCAAAGCCUUCACAGGCAUGCUGCCGUCAAGAAACUAACAGGAGAGGGAAGGGACAUGAUUGGUUUCCAGAGCCUUCAUGUAUGAGAUAACAGCAUUCAUUUAUUCAGCAUAUUUCUAGAACUUCCAGUGACCCAAACUCCGAGGGCAGCGCUUGCUCUCAGGAAGCUUAGAGUCUGCUGGAAGGACAUUCAUCCAAACAGAGGCUCAGCAUCUCCUCUUUGCAACGGGAAAACCCUCUCUUAAAAUCACAGAUUAUUUCGGGAAGGGUGUGGUUAUCUUGUGAGGCCACAGUCCUGACUGACGUCGUGAGGGUGUUUGCAGUUUCUCUUUGUCCCCUUCGGGGGAUAUCCGCGUGUCUCACUAUGCACUGUGUCUGGCGCAGCGUGUUGUCCCAGAACCACCUGGAGAUGAAGUACAAGCUCUAUGUCACCUCCCUAGAGCCUGAAGCGCCUGAGCAGCAAAACACACUCAAGCUCAAGGUUUUGGAUAAAGGAAAAACUUGGGGACCGGCAUUACAGUGUGGCGAAAACUUCACUGGAUAAAGGAACAAAGCUGGCACGAGCUUCUCUCUGACACUCCACAAUCUUAAAGGGAAAGGACUCUAUGUAGGGAGCCUGUGCCGUCACCAGAGAGCGUGAUGGUUGAGGGCGAGCUGUUGAUACGGUGGUGAGAAGGGCAACAUCUAGACAAGUGGUUCUCAAAGGUUUUGGUCUAUUCUUUAACAAUAAAGAAUCCCAAAAAGGUCUUAUUUAUGUAGGUUCCAUCAGUAUUCACCAUAUUAGAAAUUAAAAUAAAGAAAUAUUAAAAUACUUAUUAACUCAUUAAAAAUAACAGAAACCCAUUAUGUGUGACAUAAAUAUGCUUUUUAAAUAAAAAAUAAACUUCUUUUCAAAGCAAAAAAAAGAAAAAUAGCGAGAAGUAUUUCAUAGUUUUGCAAAACUUUUUACUGCCUGGCUUAACAGAAGGCAGCUAGAUUCUCAUACCUGCUUCUGCAUUCCAUGUCUUGCAAUGUGUUGCUUUGGUUGAAGUAUAAGAAAACAAUCCAGUGUCACACAGAUAAGCAGCUGGAGAGGGAGGGGUCUUUUAGAAACCUUUUCAGGUGACUGUGGAUAUUCCUAGUGACUACAGCAAAAAUUAGCAAGUAGCAGUUUCUUUAAAAAGUUGCAAUGCAGAAUCGGAAACUCUACACCUUCAUAUGCUAUUUUAAUGUUACAUUAAAAUUCGUUAGUCAUAGUUCCCGUUGUGGCUCAGUGGUUAACGAAUCCAACAAGGAACCAUGAAGUUUCGGGUUCGAUCCCUGGCCCUGCUUAGUGGGUUAAGGAUCUGGUGCUGCCAUGAGCUGUGGUGUAGGUCACAGACGUGUUUCGGAUCCUGUGUUGCUGUGGCUGUGGUGUAGGCUGGCAGCUGUAGCUCUGAUUAGACCCCUAGCCUGGGAACCUCCACAUGCCGAGGGUGUGGGCCUAGAAAAGAAAAAAAAAAAAGAAAAAUUGUUUAGUUUGUUUUGUAUUUUGAAUGGAUCUUUCACCUAUGCCUGAUUUUGCAACAUCCAGGUGUUGGUCGUUUGGAAAACACUGGUUCGGUGAGUUACAAAAAUCUUCCAAAUGUUGAUACGCUUCAUUAAUUCUUCCCUGUUUCUUCCCAUGCACAUCAUUAGGAAUAUCACCGAUCAGAAAAGUCUUUAAGUGCUAGCAAGCUGUCAAGCUUACAGCGAGGGUAUGAAUUUUCCAAAUUCCUGAUUUUUGCUUGAAAGCUCAAGUUUUAUUGUUAGCAACAACUCAGUCGGUUGUUGUCCUUGAAGUGUCAGGCUUACUUCCUUCACUUUCAAGAGAAUCUCUGCCAGACAGUCAAACCGGAAGACACGUAGUUAGCCUGUCAAUCCUUCUUUCCAAGUGACUGGAGCUCAGCUCACACUCAAGCAAAUGCAGAAUGGCUUUUCCUUGACACAACCACACUGCUUCAUUGUGCAGCACCAGUGCUUUAAGUGUACUUCUGAUGGAUAGUAAAAAGAUGUAUGUACUCCCAAGGAUUGAGAUUUAAUAAAAUUAAUACUAUUUAUUGUUCCAGUUUUCUUUUUCUUUUUUGGCCACACCCGUGGUAUAUGGAAGUUCCAGGGGCCAGGGAUCGAAUCUGAGCUGCAGCUCUGACCUACAGCACAGCUGUGGCAAUGCAGGAUCCUCAAUCCACUGUGCCACAGCGGGAACUCCAUUUCACUUUUAUUUUAAAGCACAAACAUGUGGUAAUGAAGAAAGUAAUGACUGCCCAUAGCAGUUCAGGGUCAAUGAUAUGUUUCCUGCUAAAAUACCACCAUUUGUAUCCUCUGUGGAUUUUCAUGAUAUCAGUGCAAGUGUGAACACAGUGAAAAAGUCAACUAAUGUCUUAUUAUGAAAAUAGUUUUGUCCUAGCGGAGUCCCUGAAAAGGUCUCAGGGAGCUAAGGGGGUCUGAGGAUACCACCUUGAGAACCACUGGUUUAGACUGUGUUGUGUUUCAUACGCUGCGCUGACAAGUAGAGACUUCAUUCUAUAGGCAAUGAAAAGCCACUGCUGAAUUUUAAGAAGCAAACCACAUCUCGUACGUGUGUUUCAGAAAGGUCACUUUAUCGACAGUUCGAGGGAUAUAUCUGAGAGGGUCAAGCUAUUGGCAGUGAUUCUACAAAAAAGGGCCUGUAACAGGCAAGGUCAAAAAUAUGAAGCUCUGACAAAGAAGGUAAGAACUAGUGGUUGGGGGAUGAGGUACACACAUGGAAGUAUUUAGACAUUACUUCUAGGGACUGACCUCGGGGAGAUAAAGGAGGGAAAGAAUUCAUUCCAGGAGACUUCCAGAAUCUGACUUGAGUGAUGGAGUGGAUGACGGUGGCACGUUAACUCUCAUAAUCAAUACAAGAAGAACGGGUUUAGCGGUCAGAGAAGAGCGGGAGCUCCCUACAGCCAGUUUACCAUCUCUCUAGUCUGAGCAGCCUGAGAGCCAUCCAAGUGAAAAUGUGCAACAGCAGUGAGAGACGUGAUUGAGAGCUCAGAAAACUUCGGGGUGGAGGUGAGGAUUCCAAAUUCAUUUGAAUGGAAGCUUCCGUGAGGGGCUGGGAUUGUCCAGGGACAGUGCAAACAAAGAAAACAGAAGAGGCUGGAGAACAGGGGAGGUUCCGGGAGACAGGCGGGCUGGGGGAGGGUUUGGGAGCUCCCGGCCCCUGCCGCCCAACACCUCGACUACGCGUCAUUUACAUCUGGUUGUACUGCUUAGAAUAAACCAGUGGUCUAGUUUUUAAAAAGAAGAAAGAAAAGAAAACAGAAGGGGUUUUGCUUACUACCAAGAUUUGAGUGUUAAAAAGAGGAAGGGGAAUCAGGGAACGGGAAAGAGGUUUUCAGAACAUGGCAGAUGAACUGGGAAAGCGCUACCAUGCAACUAACUGGAAUUUUUAGGGACUGUUUAGAUGGCAGAUUAAGUCACUGUUCAUUGCUGUUCAUGGGUAUAUAAUUUCCCUGCCUCAUGGAUGUGGACGGAAAUGAAGCUGAGGCUGCAGGGAUUUUUUUUCCUGUUCACCUUUUUGCCCUCCUGUAAUUCACCAUAAGGAUGAUACCCCAGGCAACCACUAGUCCAAAGAGAUUUUGCAGACGAGGAGAACAGGCCUGAACCCAAGGUAAAGCCUGGAGCUAAACCCAGCUACAGCCUAAAUCCAAACCACACUAAUGACCCACAGAUAUAUUUCGAGAAAAAAAAAUUGUUAUUACAAGUUCACUAAGUUUGGGGGAGCUGUUUGUUAUACAGCAUUGUACAAACACCUGACUAACACAGUUCUCUGUUAAAUGUUAUAAAGGAGCCAAAGAGGCUUCUAAGAACAGAUAGUAGAUUGAAUUUCCCUCUCCCAACCCAACAGAAAAGCACUAAGGCACUGAAAUAGGGUAUAAUACGAAAAACCCUUACAGGCUUGUUGUCAAGGAAGAUACCUGGAGCGUUUCAGCGACUCAACUUUAAAAUCCGUCUAUGACCCUGAAAUCAUUAAUCUGUUUCGAGCUAACAAAAUCCAGAGAAUUCCCCUUACUAUUACCAAAUUUGAAGAGACGAAAACUGUGUGACUAACCUCAGCCUUUUCUUCUUCUGACUGUAUGAUGGAUGUGUUGGAAAAACAGCUAAAAAUCAAGGCUGUCUGUGGGAAGUGAAAGCAUUAGGACUUCAGGAAUACACACCAAACUGGGAUAACCCAAACCCCAAAGGAUUAUAAGAUGCUUCUCCCUUUCAGGCAGUGUGAACUCAGAAACAGGAAGAACAGUCAGCCCAACCAGACUGCACAUCCCCCUUACUCUAGCUCCUCCCUCCCCUUCUUCAGGUUCUAGAAAAUGCAGAGAUAGGACAAAUCGGUGUUAUUGACAGAGGGAGAUGCACUGUGUUUCAGGAACAUCUGCUCUUCGAUGUUUGACCUUCGGAGGGAUCCUGGUUAAUUACAGAAUUUAUUCUGGUGGCUCUAUCAAACUGACACGAUAAAGAAAAAGACUUCUUGAGGAAUCCUUCAGAAAAGCAAAUCCUUGACCUGGAGGAAGACUCAAAUCUUGCCCAGCCUUUUCCACAGCAGUAUUCAAUGAGUAAUGUUUCAGUUCUCAGAGGAAAAAGUGUGAACAAGAAUACAGUGCCCAUGUCACUCAAAACGCAAAGGUUAACUGGCAGACACUCUUAAACAUGGAAAAAUUCAGGGAAGAUAGUACCAUGAGUCUAUGGUAUGAUCCAGCCAAUUGAGAACCGCAUCAGAGCGAAAACGUCGGGAAUGGAGGGUAGAAGACUGUGGUAAUGAAAGGCCUGGUGGUAAGCACCACAUCGGUUAAGGAUAGCAUGAGCAUUAAACUAAAGCUCAGGGUCAGAGACGCACUGGGUACUCCACAAAUCUGGACAGUGGAAAGAAAGAACACAACCCUAGGCAGCAGGAGGCAAGGAGGAGGGAUGGCAGGAAGUGUGAGUGAACCAAUGCACUCACGUUUCAGCCCCGAAUCAAACUCUGUUCCAAAGUUUAAUAAAUUGAUUCUUCCUGUUUUACGCUAAUUUCUUUCCUCUGCUGAACUUCAGGAAAAUUAACUUGAGAUUUUUCUAAAACUAACAAAAAGACAGAGUCUAGUGUAUCAACCCAUC